UACGUAGGGUGCAAGCGUUGUCCGGAAUUAUUGGGCGUAAAGAGCUCGUAGGCGGUUUGUCGCGUCUGCUGUGAAAACUCGGGGCUUAACCCCGGGCCUGCAGUGGGUACGGGCAGACUAGAGUGCGGUAGGGGAGACUGGAAUUCCUGGUGUAGCGGUGGAAUGCGCAGAUAUCAGGAGGAACACCGAUGGCGAAGGCAGAUCUCUGGGCCGUAACUGAUGCUGAGGAGCGAAAGCAUGGGGAGCGAACAGG
rnacentral:rRNA from 1 species